GCAGCCUUCCUUCUGAGAGACAGCGCUACAUAAAAAACGAAUAACAAAUGUGAAGGAGCAGGUCAAAAGUACGCGAAAUUUCUCGAACAAAGCAAAGAGAACAGCUGGAAAGCUGUCAGCUGUCACUUUUUUAUUUCCAUUGUUUAUAAACCGGCAUAAACGUGUCGUGGCUAGAUUCGAAAUAUUCAAACCCAAAUUUGUUAACGAUGAAGAAGGCGUCCAGCUUCACCAUUCUGCUCGUCUUGGCAACAUUUGCUUUUUUUCUGCCAAGACGAGAAAACACGGGUCCAUUAUCAGCUAUAGCAUUCGGAUGUCCCGGAGCAAGUGCGGCAAAAAAACUUGUGAGGCAAAAUGCCAUCAAAAAAGAUCCUAGAACACAUCCUGGCCCUGGGGGAAAACAUCAAAACGGUAAAAGACCACUUGGCUAACUUUCACCGAGGGGCGGAUGAGUAAGAUGAUGAGCAAUCUUGGCUGGACGUUAUAAAAAGCCGGAUAAUAGUCAUGAAGUUGCUGAUUUGGCUCACGAGCGUCGCACACCAGAAUACGAGUACUCAAUAAAGACAUAUGAAAUCAU
rnacentral:lncRNA from 1 species